ACUCUCUCUCUCUCUCUCUCUCUCUCUCUCUCUCUCUCUCUCUCUCACCUUGCUAGUUAGUAGUUUUAUUCCCCUGCCUACUGAUCCUCCUCUUCUAGUUAUCUUUCACUUUUCCCCUUCACAAUCUUUUCUGGUUUUUUUUCAAAGAAAAGUUGGAAGGGUUUUCUACUUUAGUCAUAAUCUUCUAUAGCUGACUGCUUUAGUUUUUUAGGGUCAAUCCAUGUUACAUUACCUGUUAGCAAUAUAGUAAGCCCUUGAUGUUCUUCCAUUAUUCUGCCUUUGGUAAAUGCUUCUUUCCUUUAGUCUUCACUCGGCUUAUCUUCCAUGGAGAAUGUUGAUCAUACCAUGCCCCAACAUCAAGGUUGGCGAAAUGGCAUCAAUGCUGCUUUGUUCGAAGGUGUGGUCAUGGCCUUCCAAAGUUGUUAGUUAGAAUGCAAAUCAGUUCAGUUCUUUGUUUUGUUUUGUGUUUAUUUAUGUGCUUUAUAGUUCGAUAAUCCUUUGGAAAUAGAGUUUGUGACUAUGAUAUCUAUAAUGCUACUAUGUUGGUAUCUGUAAUUCUACUAUGUUAUUAUCAGAAUUAAGUACUUAUUAUUUA